rnacentral:misc_RNA from 1 species
AAAAGAAAAAGCGCGCCCGAGAGGGACGCUAUUUCACACCAUUGUGUACCUAACUUUUGUUGCCUCGGCGGGUUGGGCCUUCGCCUACCCGGCUGGACCCCCCUCCCCUCGCGGGAGAGAGCCGCCCGCCGCAGGACCUUUCAAACCAGUUCGUUGAUGAACGUCUGAUUUUAUCUUUUUAAAAGAAAUA